UCCUGGUGCCUUUUGCUUUGACACAAGCCUUCUGGUUGCCGUCAGAAUGAUAUGCAUGGAACCUCUGACUCUGUGCUGCAGUGGAAGCUCUUUAGGAAGUCGGCCUGGCUGGGGGUUUACAAAAGACAGGGAUCAACUGACACAGACGCGCAGGCUGAGUUGCACGCCGUCCAAUGCUGAGACAUCACAAACACACGGCUCUCCAAGAGACACUGCAGGAUAACCAUAUGAGCCACUGGCCGGCUAGGCCAGUAGAUUCCGCCUACAGUUUGUUGAUGGUGGAGUGACGGGUUGCUUUACUUCCCAGGGAGCCCUCAUGUCUGUGUUUCCUUCUGGCUCUCCCUUUUAGUCAUGCUGUCAUGAUUUGUGAUCCAGACCUCAUCUGACCUCCGGACCUGUCUGACUCAGAUCAGGAUUGAGGCCUCUGGAUUGACCCUGUGUGGUCUGCUUGGGAUGCGUGUGGUGACGGAUGAAGGUUCCACUUUACCGUGAAGAUGUUCUUGGACUCCAAUGGAUUCCGAUGGAUGAGAUGGA